GACGAACGCUGGCGGCGUGCUUAACACAUGCAAGUCGAACGGAAAGGCCCUUCGGGGUACUCGAGUGGCGAACGGGUGAGUAACACGUGGGUGAUCUGCCCUGCACUUUGGGAUAAGCCUGGGAAACUGGGUCUAAUACCGAAUAUGACCGCGCUCUUCAUGGGGUGUGGGGGAAAGCUUUUGCGGUGUGGGAUGGGCCCGCGGCCUAUCAGGUGGUUGGUGGGGUAAUGGCCUACCAAGGCGACGACGGGUGGCCGGCCUGAGAGGGUGACCGGCCACACUGGGAAUGAGAUACGGCCCAGACUCCUACGGGAGGCAGCGGGGGGGAAUAUUGCACAAGGGGCGCAAGCCUGAUGCAGCGACGCCGCGUGAGGGAUGACGGCCUUCGGGUUGUAAACCUCUUUCAAUAGGGACGAAGCGCAAGUGACGGUACCUAUAGAAGAAGGACCGGCCAACUACGUGCCAGCCGCCGCGGUAA
rnacentral:rRNA from 1 species